CAGAGCUUUGAAUGGGCAGAGGGGUGUGCUCUCACAGACACCAUAGCAGCAGUGAGAUGAGGAGUGCCAUUUACUCCACUGCACGUCUGUACUGAGAGAAGGAAGGAAAGGAGUUGCACAACCAAGGUAUUCAAAAGAUAUCAUCUUAUUCUAAACCAGCACAGAUCUUUUGCUGAAGAAAUCUAGAGCCAGCCAUGGAACAGAAGUCAAACGAGUGUCCCAGCACCACCUCCCCUCAGAAGCACAUGAAAAACAGGUCAAAAUCCACAGAGGAGAUGCAACAGACGAGGAAGGCCUUUUCCUCACAAAAGUCCCUCCCAGGCAGACCAGAGCUGGAGAAAGUGAAGGAGUGUCCUGACGGCUCUGACACGCCGUCAUCCUCCACAGAAGAGCUGAAGUGAGAAAUGGAAGGACAUAACCAUCAAGAUAAACAUAACAUUCAUAAACAUUAUCAUAUGUACACAGACAAACGUACAACAUUGUGAAAAAGAACAGUGAACUAAAUUAUAAAACACCCAAGCAAUGAAUUUGAUUGAUUGAAUGAAACUAAACUAAAAAUGGUUAUUCGAACUCACACACAAACUCACGCACACUGAAACACUUGCUUGUAAAACCUGUGAUAAUGCUGUUUCAUUGUACUUUGAGUGUCGUAUACAUACCAACUGAAUGUGUAUUGACAAUAAAUUGAUGCUGUU